rnacentral:rRNA from 1 species
GACGAACGCUGGCGGCGUGCUUAACACAUGCAAGUGGAGCGACGAACCAGGGCUUGCCCUGGGGCAGAGCCGCGAACGGGUGAGUAACACGUGGGUUACCUACCCCGAUGACCGGGACAACCCGAGGAAACUCGGGCUAAUACCGGAUGUGGUCUUCGGACGAAAGGAAGCUUCGGCCUCCGCAUCGGGAUGGGCCCGCGGCGCAUUAGCUUGUUGGUGGGGUAACGGCCUACCAAGGCGACGAUGCGUAGCNGGUCUGAGAGGACGAUCAGCCACACUGGGACUGAGACACGGCCCAGACUCCUACGGGAGGCAGCAGUGGGAAUCUUGCGCAAUGCGCGAAAGCGUGACGCAGCAACGCCGCGUGGGGGAAGAAGGCCUUCGU